UAAUGGCGCACCGUGGGCAGGUGCGCCAUUACUAACUUUUUUUUAUUUUUUUAUUUAUUUUGAAUUUUGAAGGCGGGAAGAUACUAAUGGCGCACCACGGGCAGGUGCGCCAUUACUAACUUUUUUUUUACUUUUUUGAUUUAUUUUGAAUUUUGAGGGCGGGAAGAUACUAAUGGCGCACCACGGGCAGGUGCGCCAUUAGUAACUUUUUUUAUUUUUUGACUUAUUUUGAAUUUUGAAGGCGGGAAGAUAGUAAUGGCGCACCAUGGGCAGGUGCGCCAUUAGUAAGUUUGAAUUUUUUUUAAAUUUUUUUGCCUCUCCAGAUCUUAAAAGCCCCGUAUCUUUUUUUCUGUUAGGUUUUUGAGGAUUUUGAAAAUGUUUAACGGGGUUCCCCUGAUUAAAUUCGAAUGUAACUUUUCGAGUAGAUGAUUUUCAUAUAAAAAAACUUUUUCAUCCGAGUUCGUAUGCAAAAGUUAUGCCCAUUUUACAAAUUCUCGAGAGAUUUUGCAAAUAAAGUCGAAAUUCAUGUUUGUAAAUUUUCACAACAACUAGACCACAUAUCACAUGAGAAACUUAUUUUCUUUUAUUUUUUUUGACAUUUUCAUCAUUUUUUAUUUUUUUAAACUGAAAAGGCGGUCCGGGGGUGCAUUCGGUGGAAGUGGUGG
rnacentral:lncRNA from 1 species